UUUUAAUCGUUUCAACCUUACUUUGAUC
rnacentral:misc_RNA from 1 species